CCCUUGGCCAACUUCCCCCGCCGUCUUCUUAUCUAGGUUACCCAGAAGGUGAUCUGCUAGUUCGAAAACGAUCUUCACCAUCCUUCACUAUCCACCAGCUUCCUCCCCUUCCGGAAUGAAUUUUCUCUUUGUUGCCCCUCCUCUCUCCUCUAUCAGCACCAAAUAAUGUCUGCUCCUAUUUCUUCCGAGCGUUAUCCAGAGGUUGUACUACUUUCUUGUGAGAUGUCUUCCCCAUGUCCUUCCUCCCUUCCUCCAGUAGAAGUCCGCCCGGGAAUCCAUCAGCCACUCGACCCCUCCUCCUCUAGAAAUAUUGAAGCUUGAAAACCUUUCCCAAUCUCACUGAUCCUGAUUCCAUCCAUCCGCCUUCCCUCUACCAUUACAUUGUAAGACUUAUUCUCAAUCACCAGAAAUGUUUUUGCACUUUUGACUCCAUCUUCUCU
rnacentral:lncRNA from 1 species